AUUGAACGCUGGCGGCAUGCCUUACACAUGCAAGUCGAACGGCAGCACGGGAGCAAUCCUGGUGGCGAGUGGCGAACGGGUGAGUAAUAUAUCGGAACGUGCCCAAUCGUGGGGGAUAACGUAGCGAAAGCUACGCUAAUACCGCAUACGAUCUACGGAUGAAAGCGGGGGAUCGCAAGACCUCGCGCGAUUGGAGCGGCCGAUAUCAGAAUAGCUAGUUGGUGGGGGAAAGGCCCACCAAGGCGACGAUCUGGAGCUGGUCUGAGAGGACGACCAGCCACACUGGAACUGAGACACGGUCCAGACUCCUACGGGAGGCAGCAGUGGGGAAUUUUGGACAAUGGGCGCAAGCCUGAUCCAGCAAUGCCGCGUGCAGGAUGAAGGCCUUCGGGUUGUAAACUGCUUUUGUACGGAGCGAAACGGUUUCCACUAAUACUGGGGGCUAAUGACGGUACCGUAAGAAUAAGCACCGGCUAACUACGUGCCAGCAGCCGCAGUAA
rnacentral:rRNA from 1 species